CUCGGCGGCUCAAACGCGGCUCCUCACCCUCACGUACGCAUCCUCUAAACACCCUACAGUCACCUGAAAUCACCUCUUCUUUACACAAUCGUUUAAUGAAGAAACAAACAUGACUUUUAAAAAGCAUCCGCACGCGAUAAACAUGCGAAAGUGACGGUGAAAAGCGCGGCAACUUCCUGGUUGAAGACGCCAAAUCUUCAUAUCGAUGAUUGACAGACAGAAAAGCGCUGACAUGAGGUUCCUUUUCAACACUGUCAGAGUGAUGAACCUACCGAAGAAAUACAGACAACGCAGUGGAGAUGAGAUGCUGUGAGAUGCUGAUGUGACAUUGUGCUGUGUCUUUUAUACCUUGAGAAAUGUCACCUGAACACCACACCUGUCAGUCAGGCUGGGUCAAAAUGAAACGGGCCAAAAACACUGACCACACCUGUCAGGUAAGGUAAAAAUGAAACAGGACAUCUUUUUUGAAUGCCUAAAUUCUGGUAUUCCUGGAGGAAGUUCCUGUCAGUGUGAAAGUGUGGGGGUGUUUAACUGAUACUGUGGGCGGCAUGUUACAGCAUCGUUGCAACUGCUUUUCCACUAAAUAAAUAUGAUUUCUGAAUAUAUUUUAGAUGUUUUUUUUAUUUUCAAACAAUCUUUUUAUGCACUCACCCUCAGGCCAUCCUAGAUGUAUAUGACUAUCUUCUUUGAGAUGAACACAAUCAGUUUAAAAAUAUCCUUGCUCUUCCAUUUUUUGCUCAUUCAGAUUUUUGAAGGCUCCAGGGGGUUAAUAAAGGCCUUCUGAAGUGAAGCGAUGCAUUUUUGUAAGAAAAAUGUCCAUUUUUAAAUUGCAUUUUACAUGCAAUGUAUGAGUAUCGUAAGCUUAGAUGUCUUUGCGGUUCAAACAAAUGGGCUGGUCAACAAACUCAAGCUCCUCUUAUAUCAAAAUCCUCUGACAUUUCUCUCUAAAAUGAUAGUUUUAGACUUCUAACUCGUGACCGGUGUUUUGUUUUGCUCUCUCCUCUGCGUUUCCGCGUUCAUCAUUGCGUCAUGCAUCAGGUCAGAGGUCACUCUUCCACCACAAAAUCGAUGCGUCGUCUGCCGGAAGCUAGUUUUUAUAGUUAAUAAAGUUUAAAUAUGAACAGAAUGUCCAUCAAAAUAAUGAGUAAGCAACAUUUUAAACAAUAUUCAUAAAACUUUAGACACAUUAUCCAUAUUUUUUUGUUGGAAAGGUGGAAAUAUGUAGUGGAAAAGCUAUGCACAUAAAUGCAUUAGGCAGAUGCAUGUUUUGGUUUAUCAAGUAUAGUUGAACUUAAUUCAGUUAUUUUGAUAGUAAUUACAUAAUUACUAACAAUGAUCGCACGUUGUGAGUACGAGAAGCUGAGAUGUAUUACGAGAAAAGUCACCCAGGUGUAACGGUAAAGCAUCAUUUUAUCAAAAGCUUAAGAUGCAUUGUUCUGUUCUGAUUGACGUCAUUUCUUUUCCCUUCGGCACUGAAGGUUCCCUGCUCAUGUCAAACGUGUGACGUGUUAUGGUGAAAGUUGGAAGGCCUGUAGCUGGAAAUGAAAGUGAAAGUGCUCUCACUGUUCAUGCUGACACAAGAGAAUCACUUUAGUGGAACUGAA